UACGGAGGGGGCAAGCGUUGUUCGGAAUUACUGGGCGUAAAGGGGCGCGCAGGCGGCUGCUCAAGUCAGGCGUGAAAGGCCUGGGCUCAACCCGGGAAUUGCGCUUGGGACUGGGCUGGCUUGAGUGCGGGAGAGGAUGGUGGAAUUCCCAGUGUAGAGGUGAAAUUCGUAGAUAUUGGGAAGAACACCGGUGGCGAAGGCGGCCAUCUGGACCGCAACUGACGCUGAGGCGCGAAGGCCAGGGAGCGAACGGG
rnacentral:rRNA from 1 species